GACGAACGCUGGCGGCGUGCUUAACACAUGCAAGUCGAACGGAAAGGCCCUGCUUGCAGGGUACUCGAGUGGAGAACGGGUGAGUAACACGUGGGUGAUCUUCCCUUCACUUCGGGAUAAGCCUGGGAAACUGGGUCUAAUACCGGAUAGGAGCCAUUUUUAGUGUGAUGGUUGGAAAGUUUUUUCGGUGUAGGAUGAGCUCGCGGCCUAUCAGCUUGUUGGUGGGGUAAUGGCCUACCAAGGCGGCGACGGGUAGCCGGCCUGAUAGGGUGGACGGCCACAAUGGGACUGUGACACGGCCCAGACUCCUACGGGAGGCAGCAGUGGGGAAUAUUGCACAAUGGGCGCAAGCCUGAUGCAGCGACGCCGCGUGGGGGAUGACGGCCUUCAGGUUGUAAAAUCUUUUCGAUAGGGACGAAGCUUUUUGUGACGGUACCUAGAUAAGAAGCACCGGCUAACUACGUG
rnacentral:rRNA from 1 species